UACAGAGGUCUCAAGCGUUGUUCGGAUUCAUUGGGCGUAAAGGGUGCGUAGGCGGCGCGGUAAGUCGGGUGUGAAAUCUCGGAGCUUAACUCCGAAACUGCAUUCGAUACUGCCGUGCUUGAGGACUGGAGAGGAGACUGGAAUUUACGGUGUAGCGGUGAAAUGCGUAGAUAUCGUAAGGAAGACCAGUGGCGAAGGCGGGUCUCUGGACAGUUCCUGACGUGAGGCACGAAGGUCAGGGGAGCAAACGGG
rnacentral:rRNA from 1 species